rnacentral:rRNA from 1 species
AUUGAACGCUGGCGGCAGGCCUAACACAUGCAAGUCGAACGAGUGGCGGACGGGUGAGUAAUGUCUGGGAAACUGCCUGAUGGAGGGGGAUAACUACUGGCAACGGUAGCUAAUACCGCAUACCAUCGGAGGUGCCCAGAUGGGAUUAGCUAGUAGGUGGGGUAAAGGCUCACCUGGGCGACGAUCACUAGCUGGUCUGAGAGGAUGACCAGCCAACCUGGAACGGGGAAACGGUCCAGACUCUGAGGGGAGGCAGCAGUGGGGAAUAUUGCACAAUGGGUGCAAGCCUGAGGCAGCCAGGCCGCGUGGAUGAAGAAGGCCUUCGGGUUGUAAAGUACGUUAAGCGGGGAGGCGUUACCCGCAUAAGAAGCACCGGCUAACUCCGUGCCAGCAGCCGCGGUAAUUC